rnacentral:rRNA from 1 species
AACGAACGCUGGCGGCAGGCCUAACACAUGCAAGUCGAGCGAGGACUCCGUUCCUAGUGGCGGUCGGGUGAGUAACGCGUGGGAACGUGCCCUUUGCUUCCGAAUACUCCUGGUAAACGGGGAGUAAUACCGGAUGAGCUCCUCGAGGACAAGAUAUAUCGUCGAAGGAUCGGCCCGGGUUGGUUUAGGCUGUUGGGGGUGUAAUGGCCUACCAAGCCGACGCUCCAUAGCUGGUUUGAGAGGAUGAGCAGCCACACUGGGGCUGGGACACGGCCCAGACUCCUAGGGGAGGCAGGAGAGGGGGAUCUUAGACAAUGGGGGAAACCCUGAUCUAGCCAUGCUGGGUGAGCGAUGAAGGCCUGAGGGUUGUAAAGCUGUUUCAGAUGGGAAGAUAAUGACGGUACCAGCAGAAGAAGCCCCGGCUAACUUCGUG